CGCUGUCGGUUCGCCGCCCGUCGGUGUCAACUGGCAUGUCCUGUGGAACGUCCUGCCGGUGGCGGACCGGGCUUUCGGCUUGCGUAAGGGCUUACGCUCGAAGCAGGCCGAACAGUACCGGCCGCCGGUCCAAUCCCGCCACGGUGCUCUUCACCGAGUGUCGAGGUGGGCCGGCACGUUUACUUUGAACAAAUUAGAGUGCUUAAAGCAGGCUGGUGUCCGCCUGAAUACUGUGUGCAUGGAAUAAUAGAAUAGGACCUCGGUUCUAUUUUGUUGGUUUUCGGAACCCGAGGUAAUGAUUAAUAGGGACAGGCGGGGGCAUUCGUAUUGCGACGUUAGAGGUGAAAUUCUUGGAUCGUCGCAAGACGAACCUAAGCGAAAGCAUUUGCCAAGUAUGUUCUCGUUAAUCAAGAACGAAAGUUAGAGGUUCGAAGGCGAUCAGAUACCGCCCUAGUUCUAACCAUAAACGAUGCCAGCCAGCGAUCCGCCGAAGUUCCUCCGAUGACUCGGCGGGCAGCUUCCGGGAAACCAAAGCUUUUGGGUUCCGGGGGAAGUAUGGUUGCAAAGCUGAAACUUAAAGGAAUUGACGGAAGGGCACCACCAGGAGUGGAGCCUGCGGCUUAAUUUGACUCAACACGGGAAACCUCACCAGGCCCGGACACCGGAAGGAUUGACAGAUUGAGAGCUCUUUCUUGAUUCGGUGGGUGGUGGUGCAU
rnacentral:rRNA from 1 species